GUGUCAGGUGGGCAGUUUGACUGGGGCGGUCGCCUCCUAAAGUGUAACGGAGGCGCCCAAAGGUUCCCUCAGAAUGGUUGGAAAUCAUUCGUAGAGUGCAAAGGCAUAAGGGAGCUUGACUGCGAGACCUACAAGUCGAGCAGGGACGAAAGUCGGGCUUAGUGAUCCGGUGGUUCCGCAUGGAAGGGCCAUCGCUCAACGGAUAAAAGCUACCCCGGGGAUAACAGGCUUAUCUCCCCCAAGAGUCCACAUCGACGGGGAGGUUUGGCACCUCGAUGUCGGCUCAUCGCAUCCUGGGGCUGUAGUCGGUCCCAAGGGUUGGGCUGUUCGCCCAUUAAAGCGGUACGCGAGCUGGGUUCAGAACGUCGUGAGACAGUUCGGUCCCUAUCCGUCGUGGGCGUAGGAAAUUUGAGAGGAGCUGUCCUUAGUACGAGAGGACCGGGAUGGACGCACCGCUGGUGUACCAGUUGUUCUGCCAAGGGCAUAGCUGGGUAGCUAUGUGCGGAAGGGAUAAGUGCUGAAAGCAUCUAAGCAUGAAGCCCCCCUCAAGAUGAGAUUUCCCAUAGCGUAAGCUAGUAAGAUCCCUGAAAGAUGAUCAGGUUGAUAGGUUCGAGGUGGAAGCAUGGUGACAUGUGGAGCUGACGAAUACUAAUAGAUCGAGGACUUAACCAU
rnacentral:rRNA from 1 species